ACUGAAUAGAUACCCGGGUAGUCCACGCCCUAAACGAUGCAUAUUUGGUGUGGGCAGUUCAUUCUGUCCGUGCCGGAGCUAACGCGUUAAAUAUGCCGCCUGGGGAGUACAGUCGCAAGGCUGAAACUCAAAGGAAUUGACGGGGGCCCGCACAAGCGGUGGAGCAUGUGGUUCAAUUCGACGCAACGCGAAGAACCUUACCUGGGCUCGAACGGCUGGUCAACGGAGGUGGAAACAUCUUUACCCGCAAGGGGGUCCAGUCGAGGUGCUGCAUGGCUGUCGUCAGCUCGUGUCGUGAGAUGUUGGGUUAAGUCCCGCAACGAGCGCAACCCUUGUCCUGUGUUGCCAUCAUUCAGUUGGGAACUCGCAGGAGACCGCCAGGGAUAACCUGGAGGAAGGUGGGGAUGACGUCAAGUCCUCAUGGCCUUUAUGUCCAGGGCUACACACGUGCUACAAUGGACGGUACAAAGCGCAGCAAACCCGCGAGGGGAGCCAAUCGCAAAAACCGUUCUCAGUUCGGAUUGCAGGCUGC
rnacentral:rRNA from 1 species